rnacentral:lncRNA from 10 species
CGGCUUUCAGGUAUCUCUUCGGCUUGUUCUUGCUCAGUUUUGACUCACCACCAUCCACUUUAACCUUGGCCCCUUGUACUGCAGUCAUCUUCCCAGAGGGCCUGGACCCAAAAUUGUGUUUUUUUUCUUUUUCUUUUUUUUUUGAGAUGAAGUCUUGCUCUGUUGCUCAGGCUGGAGUGCAGUGGCGCAAUCUCGGCUCGCUGCAACUUCUGCCUCCAGGGUUCAAGGGAUUCUCAUACCUCAUCCUCCAGAGUAACCAGGAAUACAGGCACCCACCACCACUCCCAGCUAAAUAUUCACAUUUUUAGUAGCGAUGGGGUUUUGUCAUGUUGUCCAGGCUGGUCUCGAACUCCGGGCCUCAAGUGAUCCUCCCACAUCAGCCUCCCAAAGUACUGGAAUAUAGGCAUGAGCCGCUGUGCCUGGCCCUGUUUUUUGUUUUUUUCACGUG